rnacentral:rRNA from 1 species
CCUACGGGUGGCAGCAGUGAGGAAUAUUGGUCAAUGGGCGCAAGCCUGAACCAGCCAAGUCGCGUGAGGGAUGACGGUCCUAUGGAUUGUAAACCUCUUUUGUCGGGGAGCAAGGCCCGCCACGUGUGGCGGGAAGGAGAGUACCCGAAGAAAAAGCAUCGGCUAACUCCGUGCCAGCAGCCGCGGUAAUACGUAGGGUGCAAGCGUUAUCCGGAUUUAUUGGGCGUAAAGGGCUCGUAGGCGGUUCGUCGCGUCCGGUGUGAAAGUCCAUCGGUUAACGGUGGAUCCGCGCCGGGUACGGGCGGGCUUGAGUGCGGUAGGGGAGACUGGAAUUCCCGGUGUAACGGUGGAAUGUGUAGAUAUCGGGAAGAACACCAAUGGCGAAGGCAGGGCUCUGGGCCGUUACUGACGCUGAGGAGCGAAAGCGUGGGGAGCGAACAGGAUUAGAUACCCUAGUAGUC